AGUGAACGCUGGCGGUAGGCCCAACACAUGCAAGUCGAACGGCAGCACAGUAAGAGCUUGCUCUUACGGGUGGCGAGUGGCGGACGGGUGAGGAAUACAUCGGAAUCUACUUUUUCGUGGGGGAUAACGUAGGGAAACUUACGCUAAUACCGCAUACGGCCUACGGGUGAAAGCAGGGGAUCUUCGGACCUUGCGCGAUUGAAUGAGCCGAUGUCGGAUUAGCUAGUUGGCGGGGUAAAGGCCACCAAGGCGACGAUCCGUAGCUGGUCUGAGAGGAUGAUCAGCCACACUGGAACUGAGACACGUUCCAGACUCCUACGGGAGGCAGCGGUGGGGAAUAUUGGACAAUGGGCGCAAGCCUGAUCCAGCCAUACCGCGUGGGUGAAGAAGGCCUUCUGGUUGUAAAGCCCUUUUGUUGGGAAAGAAAAGCAGCAGGUUAAUACCCCGCUGUUCUGACGGUACCCAAAGAAUAAGCACCGGCUAACUUCGUG
rnacentral:rRNA from 1 species